GAUGAACGCUGGCGGCGCGCCUAACACAUGCAAGUCGCACGAGAAUUGGGUAGCAAUAUCCAUAGUAAAGUGGCGCACGGGUGAGUAAUACACAGGUAAUCUACCUUCCUGAUUGGAAAAACCCCGCGAAAGCGGGGCUAAUUCCGAAUGCGCUCCUUGAGACGUAAAGUUUUAGGGAGGAAAGCUGGCCUCUGCAUGCAAGCUAGCGCGGGAAGAGGAGCCUGUGGCCCAUCAGCUAGUUGGUAGGGUAACGGCCUACCAAGGCUAUGACGGGUAGCUGGUCUGAGAGGACGAUCAGCCACACUGGAACUGAAACACGGUCCAGACUCCUACGGGAGGCAGCAGUGGGGAAUAUUGGACAAUGGGGGAAACCCUGAUGCAGCGACGCCGGGUGAGUGAAGAAGGUUUUCGGAUCGUAAAACUCUGUUGUUAGAGAAGAACAAGGAUGAGAGUAACUGUUCAUCCCUUGACGGUAUCUAACCAGAAAGCCACGGCUAACUACGUGCCAGCAGCCGCAGUAA
rnacentral:rRNA from 1 species